rnacentral:rRNA from 1 species
AGCCGCCGCGGUAACACCAGCGCCACGAGUGGCAACCACGUUUAUUGGGCCUAAAGCGUCCGUAGCCGGUUUAGUAAAUCUCUUGUGAAAUCGACAAGCUCAACUUGUCGGCGUGCUUGAGACACUACUAAACUCGAGACCGGGAGGAGUCAGAGGUAUUCCAGGGGGAGCGGUAAAAUGUGAUAAUCCUUGGAGGACCAUCUAUGGCGAAGGCAUCUGACCAGAACGGAUCUGACGGUGAGGGGCGAAGGCUAGGGGAGCGAUCCGGAUUAGAUACCCGAGUAGUCCUAGCAGUAAACGCUGUGAGCAAGAUGUUACGCAUCUCUUGAGGAUGCGUAGUGUCGAAAUGAAGAUGUUAAGCUCACCGCCUGGGCAGUACGGUCGCAAGACUGAAACUUUAAGGAAUUGGCGGGGGCGCACCACCAGGGGUGCGGCGUGCGGUUUAAUCUAACGAUACACAGAGAACCUUACUAGAAGCGACGGCAGGAAGAAGGUCAGCCUGAAGGGCUUACCCGACGAGCCGAGAGGUAGUGCAUGGCCGCCGUCAGCUCGUGCCGUAAGGUGUCCAGUUAAGUCUGGCAACGAGCGAGACCUAUACCCUCUAUUGCUAACAGCUACACGUAGGACUGAGCACUUUGAGGGGACUGCCUUGGAAACAAGGAGGAAGGUGUAGGCAACGGUAGGUCUGUAUGCUCCGAAUCUUCUAGGCUACACGCGCGCAACAAUGGUAAUGACAAUGGGCUGCGACUCCGAAAGGAGAAGCUAAUCCUUCAAACAUUACCUCAGUUCGGAUUGCGGAUUGUAACUCAUCCGCAUGACGCCGGAAUCCCUAGUAAACAGAUUUCAUCAAAUUCUGUUGAAUAUGUCCCUGCGCCU